rnacentral:rRNA from 1 species
AAGUCUGGUGCCAGCAGCCGCGGUAAUUCCAGCUCCAAUAGCGUAUAUUAAAAUUGUUGCGUCUAAAAAGCUCGUAGUUUGAAAACUUGCCUUGGCUUACAACUGGUUCCUAAUGGGGGCCGCCGUUUGUUGAGAGCAAAUAUCGAUGACUGUUUUUGCCGACUUCAUUGUCCGGCUUAUAAGAGUCAUCAAAUAUCACUUUGAUUAAAUUAGAGUGCUUAAAGCAAGUGUGUUACUUGGAUAUAAAUGCAUGGAAUGAUGGAAUAUGUUGUUGUUCUAUUUGUUGGUUUUUGAACGAUAAAAUGAUUGAAAGGAACUGUUGGGGGCAUUCGUAUUGUUGUGAGAGAGGUGAAAUUCUUAGACCACAGCAAGACGAACUACUGCGAAAGCAUUUGCCAAGAAUGUUUUCAUUGAUCAAGAACGAAAGUUAGAGGUUCGAAGGCGAUCAGAUACCGCCCUAGUUCUAACCAUACCCUAGUUCUAACCAUAA